GUCCACGCCCUAAACGAUGCAUAUUUGGUGUGGGUCAUUCAGUUGAUCCGUGCCGGAGCUAACGCGUUAAAUAUGCCGCCUGUGGAGUACAGUCGCAAGGCUGAAACUCAAAGGAAUUGACGGGGGCCCGCACAAGCGGUGGAGCAUGUGGUUCAAUUCGACGCAACGCGAAGAACCUUACCUGGGCUCGAACGGCUUCUCAACGCCGGUGGAAACACUGGUACCCCGCAAGGGGGUGGAGUCGAGGUGCUGCAUGGCUGUCGU
rnacentral:rRNA from 1 species